rnacentral:rRNA from 1 species
GACGAACGCUGGCGGCGUGCCUAACACAUGCAAGUCGAGCGGGGAUGUUGGAGAGCUUGCUCAAAAACAUUCUAGCGGCGGACGGGUGAGUAACGCGUGAGCAACCUGCCUAUCACAGGGGAAUAACGCACCGAAAGGUGUGCUAAUACCGCAUGAGACCACAGGACCGCAUGGUCAAGGGGUCAAAGAUUUAUCGGUGAUAGAUGGGCUCGCGUCUGAUUAGCUAGUUGGUGAGGUAACGGCCCACCAAGGCGACGAUCAGUAGCCGACCUGAGAGGGUGAUCGGCCACAUUGGAACUGAGAAACGGUCCAA